UGGAAUAAUUGAGAUUUGGGAUUAGGGUAACGUUACUGGUGACGAUUGGGAUUCUGAAGAACUUCCCCUCUUCCUUCAACGAUCGGCGGUGGUGUCUCAAACUUUCUCCGGCGAACUCGUCCUCCCCGAUCGCUCGUUCCGCCUCACUCAGUCGACCUCUGCUUUCACUUUCUCCGUCUCCUUCUCACGCUUUCGAAUUCGUCCGGCGCUCGUGACUCACUGUGGAACGGUUACAGGUUGUGUGGAGGUCGAUGCGACGUCGAAGUUGUUGAUUACAAUAGUGAUAGAACGCGAUUGCAGAAAUCUUCUCUUGAUGACGAAAGUGAUUUCUUUUGGAGAUCGGAUGAUUGAAGAUGAUUAUAGCGAAGCACCGCGAUUGGAGUGAUGACGAUAAUUGAAGUUCGUUUUCAAUUCUUGAGUGAAAGGUGAUGAAUUGUGAAGAUGAUGAAGUGGUUGCAGAUUGAAGGUGUGGCGAUGAUUGAAGAAGGUGUGGUUUGAGAGAAGUCCGUGAAGAUGAUGAUGACGUUGAUUGUUUGUUGUUGAAGAUGAAUUUGCAGACGAAGAUGAAGAACAGUGAUGAAGAAUGAGAGUGAGAAUGGAUAACUGAAGGUUGAAUGUGAGAGAAUUUACAGAGAUGAUGGAUGAAGGACAAAGAUUGGAUGAAGAUUAUGAAGAACUCAGAAGUGGCGGAGAUGAAGGUGAAGUGAAGAAUGGUUGAGAGAUCAAAAAAUGGUGGAGCCUCAAAUGUGAAUGAUGCUGAUGAUAUAUAGAGGAUUUCAUAGUUUGGAGGUCAAGCAAUGGUGCUCUUGGAGACUGAUGGGUUAUGAAAGAAAAACUGAGUUUAGCAUGGACAUGAAGAUAAUUUCAGCAUGGAGAUUUUCACAUGAAACAUUAUGGAGAAAUGGAAGCUUGAAGAUCAACAUUUGUCACUUAGGAUGAAGCAUGAGAUUGGAAACAAUAGGCUAUUAUUUAUUUAUGUAUAGUUUACUGUGUAAUGAACCUUUGGAGCAUAAUCUAAUGGAUUUUUUUGUAGUAGAAUUUAAGCAAUUGACCUUUCCGAUGUCGACUUUUGAACACUGAGUGAAUUGUUUUCAAAUCAUUGCUUGGAUCCAAAUGACAAGUUCCAAAUAUUUAAAUUAAUCCUCUUUUCCCAAUUGAAUCUCUUUACUUCUAGAUUAAUAUCUUGCAUAGAAUUCCAUGACCAUGGUGUGAGUCUUUUAAAGUCUUUGUUUAGAGCAGCUCGAUCUCAAUGAUCUAAUCCAUAUCACUUUGCUACAUAUUCACCAAGUCCCACGACAUAUCUUAUAAUCCAAGCAUUGCAUCAAACAGUUGUGUCUAAACUCCGCAAGAAAGAUUCUCUUGAUUACUAAAUAAAUAUGGAACUAAUCCUGAUCCCACUGAUGCCUUUAACUCAUCACUACUGAUUUAACGAACCAAUAACACUCUUAACGAAUGAAUGCAUGACAUGUAAGAUGAC